rnacentral:tRNA from 1 species
CAGAGGUUAGUUUAAUUAAAAUUUCGGUUUUGGGAGUCGUUGAUAGAAAAAUUUUCUACCUCUGA